rnacentral:rRNA from 1 species
UGGGGAAUAUUGCACAAUGGAGGGAACUCUGAUGCAGCGACGCCGCGUGAACGAAGAAGGCUUUCGAGUCGUAAAGUUCUUUUAUAUGGGAAGAUAAUGACGGUACCAUAAGAAGAAGCCCCGGCUAACUACGUGCCAGCAGCCGCGGUAAUACGUAGGGGGCUAGCGUUGUCCGGAAUCACUGGGCGUAAAGGGUUCGCAGGCGGAAAUGCAAGUCAGGUGUAAAAGGCAGUAGCUUAACUACUGUAAGCAUUUGAAACUGCAUAUCUUGAGAAGAGGAGAGGUAAGUGGAAUUUUUAGUGUAGCGGUGAAAUGCGUAGAUAUUAAAAAGAAUACCGGUGGCGAAGGCGACUUACUGGGCUCAUUCUGACGCUGAGGAACGAAAGCGUGGGUAGCAAACAGG